UACGUAGGGUGCGAGCGUUAAUCGGAAUUACUGGGCGUAAAGCGUGCGUAGGCGGUUCGUUAAGUCAGCUGUGAAAGCCCCGGGCUCAACCUGGGAACUGCGGUUGAAACUGGCGAACUAGAAUCUGGCAGAGGGGGGUGGAAUUCCACGUGUAGCAGUGAAAUGCGUAGAGAUGUGGAGGAACACCGGUGGCGAAGGCGGCCCCCUGGACCGGUACUGACGCUGAGGCGCGAAAGCGUGGGUAGCAAACGGG
rnacentral:rRNA from 1 species